rnacentral:rRNA from 1 species
CCUACGGGUGGCAGCAGUGAGGAAUAUUGGUCAAUGGCCGAGAGGCUGAACCAGCCAAGUCGCGUGAGGGAAGACGGCCCUACGGGUUGUAAACCUCUUUUGUCGGGGAGCAAAGCGAGUCACGUGUGGCCAGACGAGAGUACCGUACGAAUAAGCAUCGGCUAACUCCGUGCCAGCAGCCGCGGUAAUACGGGGGAUGCAAGCGUUAUCCGGAUUUAUUGGGUUUAAAGGGUGCGUAGGCUGUGAGGUAAGUCAGCGGUGAAAUGCCCCCGCUCAACGGGGUGAAGUGCCAUUGAUACUGCCUUGCUGGAAUGCGGAUGCCGUGGGAGGAAUGUGUGGUGUAGCGGUGAAAUGCAUAGAUAUCACGCAGAACACCGAUUGCGAAGGCAUCUCACGAAUCCGCGAUUGACGCUGAUGCACGAAAGCGUGGGUAUCAAACAGGAUUAGAUACCCUUGUAGUC